ACAUGACAGAAUAAAUCAGAUUCAGUAGAAAUCACUGUGAUCUUUUGAAUAAAAUGAUCAGUAUCAUUACAGAAAUCUCUAUCAUUUUAUAAUAUUCUCAAUACUUUUAAUAAUUUGAGUUUAGUCAACAGAUGUAACAGGAUAUCAAUUCUCUCCUCACCAUAUAAGAUAUUUUGAAGGAAGUUUGUAACUAGGCUGCUUUGGGGCACCAUUGACUUUCAUAGUAGAAAAAACAAUACUAUGGAAGUGAAUGGUGCCCCUAAACAGUUCAGUUUCCCACAUUCUUCAAAAUAUCUUCCUUUGUGUUUAUUUGUGUUGUGUUUAUCAACUAAAGUUCUGCAGCGGAUGUGGAAUUCAUUGUUACUGUCAGUGGUGAGUAAAAAAACUCUUCAAACUUGCAAAUUGUUCUGAAUUUUUGCUUCUUAAGUGUUGUGGCAUCAUUUUAGGGCUUUUCACACUUGAAAUAGUUAACCCUGGGUCAUUGUAAACCCUGGGUAAAUGGAAUCCUGGGUUAUCUUGCUUCAUGUUUUACACUGCUUAUACUUUACAAGGGUUAACAGUUAAUCCUGGAUAUCCAUAAGCUGCUGUUUCACACUGCACAUUCCUAAAUCCCAGGUUAAAGUCCUUUAUUUGCAUAUUGUCUGUUGCUAAACAUCUAGCCGUAACAUUCUAACACCGCGCCAUUUCACACUGUACAAGGUCGGCACCGCAUUGCAAAAGCGGUUUCAUAGCCCCGGGUAAAAAGCGGUGUGAAAUAUUCCUUUACCGGGGGUUAAAAGCAGUUUAGAAUGAGGAUAACCCGGGGUUAAGCACAGUGUGAAAAGCCCUUUUGAGUGCAUUAAUCGGAUGACACUGGAGGGUCUGCCCAUUUCCUCCUUCCCUCUCUCUCCACCAGUUACUGGAAUUAGUCAUCCUGCGCUUGACCUGCUUUCUACUGCUCGUCUCCACUGUCCCAUGCUCCCUCUGCCACACAUACAAAACAUGGAUUUUCUAGUUUUUGUGUGACCAUCAUGUCUGAUGAAUUUAAAGCACAUUAUCUAACAAGUCUGUGAUUGUUGUUAAAACAGGAUCAGAUGGAAAUGCUUCUGGAUACGAACCAAAAGAGCAGAAAGCAGCCCUGACUCGUUGAGGCAUGGACUCCACUAGACCCCUGAAGGUGUGGUAUCUGGACCAAGUUGCGACGUGGAGCCUCCAUGGAUCAGACUUGUUUGUUCAGCACAUCCCACAGAUGCUGGAUUGGAUUGGGAUCUGGGGCAUUUGGAGGCCAAGUCAACACCUCAAACUCAUUGUUGUGCUCCUAAAACCAUUCCUGAACCAUUUUUGCUUUGUGGCAGAGCGCAUUAUCCUGCUGAAAGAGGCCACAGCCACCAGAGAGUACCUCACGUGUCCACUGUUGGCUCUUUCAGCGGUGGACAGGGGUCAGCAUGGGCACCCUGACUUGUCUGCAGCUAUGCAGCCCCAUACACAACAAACUGUGAUGCACUGUGUAUUCUGACACCUUUCUAUCAGAACCAGCAUUAACUUCCUGAGCAAUUUAAAGCUACAGUAGCUCGUCUGUUGGAUCGGGCCACAUGGGCCAGCCUCUGUUCCCCACAUGCAUCAAUGAGCCUCGGCCGCCAGGUGUAUAGCUAUGAAAAUGACCUAUUAAUUGCCAUUAAAGUAAAAUUACUGAACCUAAACAUACAAGCUUGAUAAAAAUGCUCAUUUUAGAAGAAAAUUUCAGAUGGCACUUGGAGGCUUUUGCAUCUGAAGUCUUCAUAUAUAUAUAUAUAUAUAUAUAUAUAUAUAAAAUAUAAUAUAUAUAAUAUAAUAUAAUAUUAUAUAUAUAUAUAUAUAUAUAUAUAUAUAUAUUCUGGAGGUUUAAGUUGUAGGGGUCUAAUUGAGUUUCAUUGCUCAAUAUUAAAAACAAAUUUCCAGUGCACUGCAUUUCUGCUGGUUUUCACACUUCAUCUCUCUCUCACACACAUUCACAUGCAAAAAAUACACACAAACAUCACCUCCUUUUUGAAACUUGUGGCUCUUGAAGGCAUCAGUGACAUCUGAAACUGUUUAUGAAUGUCUGUUUUAGCAGAAGCGUAUUAAACCACAGUGUGUUUAAAGGUUAAAGUGUCUCUACACUUACAGUUCUUCUCUCUCAUCGGCUCUCAAUUGAUCACUUGCUACUAUAUUUGCACAAAAAUGCAUGUUUAGUCGAUGUAAAUCACUCAGAUCGCUGCACUGAACUCAUCUGUGGUUGUUUUGCUGUGGUGAGUCGGUUGACCGACACACCUGACGUCUGUGGUUUGGUUGAGUGUGGUUUGUGUGGACAGAUCUCAACCAAACGACCAACUGAAUCUGAGUUUAACAGCAGAAAGAUGAAUGUAGUGACACUUGAUCAGGCCAAACAUCUGUGGAUUCAACCGACAUGUGUGAACAAAUGUGCUCAAGUAUAUGUGAUGAGAGAUAAAGAUCAAACUAAGAGCAGAGUGGAAUAUAAACUGAAGAAAUGACUCAAGUUCACACAUUUAUUUUUGCGACCGUGUGAUCAGUUUAUUUUUCGUCUCAUUUCACACUCAUUGUUUUUUCCACUCCAGUGGUCAGCGUCUUCUUCGAACUGUUUGACAGUGUGUUUUCACCCACAGCCGUGAUGAGAGCGAUUGUUUGUCAGCUUUUAAAAGAUAUUUUUAAAGUUUAAUUGUGAAUUCACUGAAUAUUACACCAAUUUUCUAAUAGUGUUUCUUUUGAAUGGUCUGGUAGUUUCUCUAAUGUUUAUUAUAUGGAUAAAAGUGUCUGCUAAAUGAUUAAAUGUAAGUAAAUGUAGAAUCCAGAAAUAAAACGAAGUGGUUUAAUAUCUUGAAAAGCAGUGCAUGUUAUUGUCAGUGGGAUAUUGUGUAUGGAUCUGUUAUUCUCAGUGGUUAUAUCAGUCUUGGUGCUCAUGUGAAGCUAAAUCAAGACACCUGAAAUAGUUUUAACUGUGUUUACAUGUAUUUAUUUUUCAAGACUAACAGAAUAAUUGUGUAAAAUCACAUAAACUGUGAGUAGAAAUGCAUAUGAAAGGGACAAGAAGGAGGCUGAAGAAUUUAAAAAUGAUAUUAAAGCAUUUUUAUUUAAAAUUGUACAAAAGGAGGCAUGUAGAAAUGUGGAAAAAUGUGAAAUAUAGAUAUAUCUUGCAUAUAAACUUUUAAGAACUUUAUAAAAUGUCACAGAGAGAGAGAGACAGAGAGAGAGAGAGAGACAGAGACACAGAGAGAGAGAGAGAGCGAGAGAGAGACAGAGAGAGAGAGCUGUUAGUGAAAUAACACAUUAGUUGGUGCUUCAACAGAGACAAACAAGACUGACAAAUCUAUUGAAAACAUGAUUUGUUCACGCCAUGUCGUGAUUACUGUUAUUACGAGAUGAGAAACACAUGA